rnacentral:rRNA from 1 species
UACGUAGGGAGCAAGCGUUGUCCGGAAUCAUUGGGCGUAAAGCGCGCGUAGGUGGCCUCAUAAGUCCGCUGUGAAAGUCAAAGGCUCAACCUUUGAAAGCCGGUGGAUACUGUGGGGCUAGAGUACGGAAGAGGCGAGUGGAAUUCCUGGUGUAGCGGUGGAAUGCGCAGAUAUCAGGAGGAACACCUAUAGCGAAGGCAGCUCGCUGGAACGACACUGACGCUGAGACGCGAAAGCGUGGGGAGCGAACAGG